GGCCUUCCCUUUCUCCUUCGCUCUACCUAUAUUCGGCGUGCCGGCUUGUCCGGCUAUGGCGAUAAACGGCCGAUGAAAUAAGCCAUUCGGACCCGGGGGCGGUACCCGGCGCCUCCACCACAAGCUGCCGGCCACGGCAUCUUCUGAUGGGGGCGAAAUAGGAUCGACGAGGGUGUAAAGAUCGCGCUUUUGCCCGGCAUGAUACCGCCGUUAUCGGGUCAAACCUAUAGUUGCCAACGACAACUAUGCUGAGGCACGUCUCGCUGCGUAAGCAGUGCGAUAGUCUCGAAUCAAGCCCUGUGGGUUAGCACCUUCAGGCGGGGUUCGGAGGUACCUGGCAACAGAAACCUCCACC
rnacentral:tmRNA from 1 species